GUCCAGAAAAAACAUUCUGCCUCUUACGGCUUCCUACUGGUUAACGGUGGCAGAUCAAACUGAUAGUGUGCAGGUGGAGGCGCUGCAGAGAGAGUUGUGUGUGCGAAAUAUUUACUGGCAGCAUCAGAGGCAGCGGGAGGAAGAUCUCCUCUCUGAUCUGGACUCAGCUCUUUCCCAGUGUCUCUUUAGAAUCACAGAAGUUAACUCUUCUCAGGUCCAGUGGUCAGGGAGACAGCUGAGGGAAGCAGUGGUGGAGCUGCAGGAAUCAUCGCAGACCGAGGCCCAGAGGAGAACGGCUCAGCACUCCCACUUGGCUCUGAUCCUGCCUCUAUGUGUUUUACACAU